rnacentral:rRNA from 1 species
GACGAACGCUGGCGGCGUGCUUAACACAUGCAAGUCGAACGGAAAGGCCCUGCUUUUGUGGGGUGCUCGAGUGGCGAACGGGUGAGUAACACGUGAGUAACCUGCCCUUGACUUUGGGAUAACUUCAGGUAACUGGGGCUAAUACCGGAUAGGAGCUCCUGCCGCAUGGUGGGGGUUGGAAAGUUUCGGCGGUUGGGGAUGGACUCGCGGCUUAUCAGCUUGUUGGUGGGGUAGUGGCUUACCAAGGCUUUGACGGGUAGCCGGCCUGAGAGGGUGACCAGCCACAGUGGGACUAAGAUACGGCCCAGACUGCUACGGGAGGCAGCAGUGGGGAAUAUUACACAAUGGGCCGGAGCCUGAUGCGGCAACGCCGCGUGCGGGAUGAUGGCCAUCGGGUUGUAAACCGCUUUCGCCUGUGACGAAGCGUGAGUGACGGUAAUGGGUAAAGAAGCACCGGCUAACUACGUG